CGCAGCUACACAUGCAGUCGAGCGGUAGCACAGAGAGCUUGCUCUCGGGUGACGAGCGGCGGACGGGUGAGUAAUGUCUGGGAAACUGCCUGAUGGAGGGGGAUAACUACUGGAAACGGUAGCUAAUACCGCAUAACGUCGCAAGACCAAAGUGGGGGACCUUCGGGCCUCAUGCCAUCAGAUGUGCCCAGAUGGGAUUAGCUAGUAGGUGGGGUAAUGGCUCACCUAGGCGACGAUCCCUAGCUGGUCUGAGAGGAUGACCAGCCACACUGGAACUGAGACACGGUCCAGACUCCUACGGGAGGCAGCAGUGGGGAAUAUUGCACAAUGGGCGCAAGCCUGAUGCAGCCAUGCCGCGUGUAUGAAGAAGGCCUUCGGGUUGUAAAGUACUUUCAGCGAGGAGGAAGGCGUUAAGGUUAAUAACCUUGGCGAUUGACGUUACUCGCAGAAGAAGCACCGGCUAACUCCGUGCCAGCAGCCGCGGUAAUACGGAGGGUGCAAGCGUUAAUCGGAAUUACUGGGCGUAAAGCGCACGCAGGCGGUCUGUCAAGUCGGAUGUGAAAUCCCCGGGCUCAACCUGGGAACUGCAUUCGAAACUGGCAGGCUAGAGUCUUGUAGAGGGGGGUAGAAUUCCAGGUGUAGCGGUGAAAUGCGUAGAGAUCUGGAGGAAUACCGGUGGCGAAGGCGGCCCCCUGGACAAAGACUGACGCUCAGGUGCGAAAGCGUGGGGAGCAAACAGGAUUAGAUACCCUGGUAGUCCACGCCGUAAACGAUGUCGACUUGGAGGUUGUGCCCUUGAGGCGUGGCUUCCGGAGCUAACGCGUUAAGUCGACCGCCUGGGGAGUACGGCCGCAAGGUUAAAACUCAAAUGAAUUGACGGGGGCCCGCACAAGCGGUGGAGCAUGUGGUUUAAUUCGAUGCAACGCGAAGAACCUUACCUACUCUUGACAUCCAGAGAACUUAGCAGAGAUGCUUUGGUGCCUUCGGGAACUCUGAGACAGGUGCUGCAUGGCUGUCGUCAGCUCGUGUUGUGAAAUGUUGGGUUAAGUCCCGCAACGAGCGCAACCCUUAUCCUUUGUUGCCAGCGGUCCGGCCGGGAACUCAAAGGAGACUGCCAGUGAUAAACUGGAGGAAGGUGGGGAUGACGUCAAGUCAUCAUGGCCCUUACGAGUAGGGCUACACACGUGCUACAAUGGCAUAUACAAAGAGAAGCGACCUCGCGAGAGCAAGCGGACCUCAUAAAGUAUGUCGUAGUCCGGAUUGGAGUCUGCAACUCGACUCCAUGAAGUCGGAAUCGCUAGUAAUCGUAGAUCAGAAUGCUACGGUGAAUACGUUCCCGGGCCUUGUACACACCGCCCGUCACACCAUGGGAGUGGGUUGCAAAAGAAGUAGGUAGCUUAACCUUCGGGAGGGCGCUACCACUUUGGA
rnacentral:rRNA from 1 species